rnacentral:rRNA from 1 species
AAAUUGAAGAGUUUGAUCAUGGCUCAGAUUGAACGCUGGCGGCAGGCCUAACACAUGCAAGUCGAGCGGAAACGAGUUGUCUGAACCUUCGGGGGACGAUAACGGCGUCGAGCGGCGGACGGGUGAGUAAUGCCUAGGAAAUUGCCCUGAUGUGGGGGAUAACCAUUGGAAACGAUGGCUAAUACCGCAUGAUGCCUACGGGCCAAAGAGGGGGACCUUCGGGCCUCUCGCGUCAGGAUAUGCCUAGGUGGGAUUAGCUAGUUGGUGAGGUAAGGGCUCACCAAGGCGACGAUCCCUAGCUGGUCUGAGAGGAUGAUCAGCCACACUGGAACUGAGACACGGUCCAGACUCCUACGGGAGGCAGCAGUGGGGAAUAUUGCACAAUGGGCGCAAGCCUGAUGCAGCCAUGCCGCGUGUGUGAAGAAGGCCUUCGGGUUGUAAAGCACUUUCAGUCGUGAGGAAGGUAGUGUAGUUAAUAGCUGCAUUAUUUGACGUUAGCGACAGAAGAAGCACCGGCUAACUCCGUGCCAGCAGCCGCGGUAAUACGGAGGGUGCGAGCGUUAAUCGGAAUUACUGGGCGUAAAGCGCAUGCAGGUGGUUUGUUAAGUCAGAUGUGAAAGCCCGGGGCUCAACCUCGGAAUUGCAUUUGAAACUGGCAGACUAGAGUACUGUAGAGGGGGGUAGAAUUUCAGGUGUAGCGGUGAAAUGCGUAGAGAUCUGAAGGAAUACCGGUGGCGAAGGCGGCCCCCUGGACAGAUACUGACACUCAGA